CACUCCUGCGGGAGGCAGCAGUGGGGAAUAUUGCACAAUGGGCGCAAGCCUGAUGCAGCCAUGCCGCGUGUAUGAAGAAGGCCUUCGGGUUGUAAAGUACUUUCAGCGGGGAGGAAGGCGAUAAGGUUAAUAACCUUGUCGAUUGACGUUACCCGCAGAAGAAGCACCGGCUAACUCCGUGCCAGCAGCCGCGGUAAUACGGAGGGUGCAAGCGUUAAUCGGAAUUACUGGGCGUAAAGCGCACGCAGGCGGUCUGUCAAGUCGGAUGUGAAAUCCCCGGGCUCAACCUGGGAACUGCAUUCGAAACUGGCAGGCUAGAGUCUUGUAGAGGGGGGUAGAAUUCCAGGUGUAGCGGUGAAAUGCGUAGAGAUCUGGAGGAAUACCGGUGGCGAAGGCGGCCCCCUGGACAAAGACUGACGCUCAGGUGCGAAAGCGUGGGGAGCAAACAGGAUUAGAAACCCCGGUAGUCCCAUG
rnacentral:rRNA from 1 species